CAGUCGCCGCGGUAAUACGGAGGGGGCUAGCGUUGUUCGGAAUUACUGGGCGUAAAGCGCACGCAGGCGGCUUUGUAAGUUAGAGGUGAAAGCCUGGGGCUCAACUCCAGAAUUGCCUUUAAGACUGCAUCGCUUGAACGUCGGAGAGGUGAGUGGAAUUCCGAGUGUAGAGGUGAAAUUCGUAGAUAUUCGGAAGAACACCAGUGGCGAAGGCGGCCCACUGGACGACUGUUGACGCUGAGGUGCGAAAGCGUGGGGAGCAAACAGGAUUAGAGACCCCCGUAGUCCCUGUCUCUUAUAC
rnacentral:rRNA from 1 species